GUUGUACUCCCUUUGUCCCAAAAUUCUUGUUUUAGAUUUGUCUAAAUACAGAUAUAUCAAGUCACGUUUUAGUAUUAGGUACAUCCGUACCUAGACAAAUCUAAAAAAAAUUGGAACGGAGGGAGUACUAA
rnacentral:pre_miRNA from 1 species